GAGAUCAGCAUGUGCAGUCCUCACUAAGAAAACGUGGCUUUAUGCAUGUGCGUUACCUGUCGACCGAGAUCAGCAUGUGCAGUCCUGACGGGCUAAUCAAGCUUGAAUACAUCAAGGUUAACGACGUGUUUGAUGACAAGAGCUUGGAUACAUCAAGGUUAACGACGUGUUUGAUGACAAGAGCUUGGAUACAUCAAGGUUAACGACGUGUUUGAUGACAAGAGCUCGAAUACAUCAAGAAAACGGGAUGGAUGCAUUCAUCAACAUGCGUUUUUUUCUGAUACUAGUAAUACAUUGU